rnacentral:misc_RNA from 1 species
AAAGUCGUAACAAGGUAACCGUAGGUGAACCUGCGGUUGGAUCAUUACAAAAUUGGUAUCUUACCAAACAUUGUGUGCACCAUAACUGUUCUUGGCAGUGUAUUGUCUGUGUCAGGUUUCUGGAUCCUUGACCCGCCGGUCUGUCCCUUCGGGGACCUCUCUGGUGAAUGAAGGUUGAAGGACUGUCCUGACCAGGCAAUCUCUGCCGCCUGUCUAAACAUUGUAUUUCAAAAAUCUAGUCUGAAUCAGUUCACCACAAAGUGAAAUGAAAAACAACUUUUGACAACGGAUCUCUUGGCUCUC